CCCAAAGUGGUGUAGUGGCAGCACGCUCAUGCUACACGCGGUUAUCUUAGGAAGCCGUGCCUUCAGGGGUGGGAAAUUCAGGUUCAAUUCUUGACUUUGGGA